rnacentral:rRNA from 1 species
GCGUUAUCCGGAUUCACUGGGUUUAAAGGGUGCGUAGGCGGGCAGGUAAGUCCGUGGUGAAAUCUCUGAGCUUAACUCAGAAACUGCCAUGGAUACUAUUUGUCUUGAAUAUUGUGGAGGUAAGCGGAAUAUGUCAUGUAGCGGUGAAAUGCUUAGAUAUGACAUAGAACACCAAUUGCGAAGGCAGCUUACUACACAGUUAUUGACGCUGAGGCACGAAAGCGUG